AAACCAAGGUGAGGACAUCUUCUCAAUAGGUCCUUUUCUCUCUCCCAUUCAUCAUAAAGAGUUUCUAGAUUCAUCUGCACAAAAGAAGAAAUAUCAUUCCUCAAUUU
rnacentral:snoRNA from 1 species